rnacentral:tRNA from 1 species
ACUGGGAUGGCCGAGUGGAAUGAGGCGACGGACUCAUGAUCCGUACUACGCAGGUUCGAAUCCUGCUCCCAGUA